CAAUAGCGUAUAUUAAAGUUGUUGCGGUUAAAAAGCUCGUAGUUGGAUUUCUGCUGAGAACGACCGGUCCGCCCUCUGGGUGUGUAUCUGGCUCUUUCUUGGCAUCUUCUUGGUGAACGUUGCUGCACUUGACUGUGUGGAGCGCUACCCAGGACUUUUACUUUGAGGAAAUUAGAGUGUUUCAAGCAGGCAUACGCCUUGAAUACAUUAGCAUGGAAUAAUAAGAUAGGACCUCGGUUCUAUUUUGUUGGUUUCUAGAGCUGAGGUAAUGAUUAAUAGGGAUAGUUGGGGGUAUUCAUAUUUGGCAGUCAGAGGUGAAAUUCUUAGAUUUGCUGAAGAUGAACAACUGCGAAAGCAUUUACCAAGGAUGUUUNCAUUA
rnacentral:rRNA from 1 species